AAAUGCUAAGUUAAGUUAAACUAUAAGGAUGUGGCCCUUAAAUUCAAUUGUGAGUUAACCGGGCAGAU
rnacentral:tRNA from 1 species